rnacentral:rRNA from 1 species
UACGUAGGGGGCAAGCGUUGUCCGGAAUCAUUGGGCGUAAAGCGCGCGUAGGCGGCCCGGUAAGUCCGUUGUGAAAGUCAAAGGCUCAACCUUUGAAAGCCGAUGGAUACUGCCGGGCUGGAGUCCGGAAGAGGCGAGUGGAAUUCCUGGUGUAGCGGUGGAAUGCGCAGAUAUCAGGAGGAACACCAAUAGCGAAGGCAGCUCGCUGGGACGGUACUGACGCUGAGGCGCGAAAGCGUGGGGAGCGAACAGG